UGCCCAAGAGAUCGGGAUAACACCUGGAAACAGAUGCUAAUACCGGAUAACAACAGAUGAUGCCUAUCAACUGUUUAAAAGAUGGUUCUGCUAUCACUAUUGGAUGGACCUGCGGUGCAUUAGCUAGUUGGUAGGGUAACGGCCUACCAAGGCGAUGAUGCAUAGUCGAGUUGAGAGACUGAUCGGCCACAUUGGGACUGAGACACGGCCCAAACUCCUACGGGAGGCAGCAGUG
rnacentral:rRNA from 1 species